UUAUUAGUAUGCGGACAUUGAAAACGCAUUUAAAAAAUGCCGGACUGUUUAGAAGAAGUAACUACUCUCCACUUCAUGAGAUGAUUCGUGCUAUUUUGACCGAACUACGGGGACCGGGGCAAUUAUGGAGAGACGGCAGCGAGACGGCUGCUAAGGGACCGUCUACAAAGUGCAAGCUUCCAGAGAAGGCCAUUCUGUAAAAGUCAAUAACCUCUCAGAAACAAAUAAAUAUCGACUUUUAUGUGAACUACUGAUAGAGAUUCGUCACCAUAUUUGUGCUACAAUAAAGAUUUUGAA